AUACGUAGGGUGCAAGCGUUAAUCGGAAUUACUGGGCGUAAAGCGUGCGCAGGCGGUUUUUUAAGACAGAGGGGAAAUCCCCCGGCUCAAACCGGGAAAUGCCUUUGUGACUGCAAGGCUAGGGGACGGCCGAGGGGGGUGGAAUUCCCCGUGUAGCCGUGACAUGCGCAGAUAUGCGGAGGAACACCGAUGGCGAAGGCAAUCCCCUGGGCCUGUACUGACGCUCAUGCACGAAAGCGUGGGGAGCAAACAGGAUUAGAUACCCUGGUAGUCCACGCCCUAAACGAUGUCAACUGGUUGUUGGGUCUUCAUUGACUCAGUAACGAAGCUAACGCGUGAAGUUGACCGCCUGGGGAGUACGGCCGCAAGGUUGAAACUCAAAUGAAUUGACGGGG
rnacentral:rRNA from 1 species